CUUUUGGGUGGAUCGCUGAGUG
rnacentral:misc_RNA from 1 species